rnacentral:lncRNA from 1 species
AGCCCUUAGCGGAGCGCACAGACUACAACUCCGGGGCUGGUUGGACCAACACCCCAGGAUACCCAGGUAAGGCGUGUCCUCACUGCGCCGUUAGUUGCCCGCUCGAAGUGAGGCACUGCCCACGGCGGAGUUCCUGUCCUGAGGAUCAAGCUGGAGGAAUUAACUGUCCGGGAGGCGAAGGCUGCGCCCACCCAGGGCCCACACUCCACGCGCCUGUGUAGUUCCUACAAGCGCCUCUUGCCCCGUCCGGGAGCGCGCGGACCCCAUCGCGGCUCCUCUUGGCUGACUUGCCCCUUGAACCUCGGAGUUCCCUGGGGUUGAGUCCCUGGUGGACAGAUCGCUCCACAAGCUCUCCGUCAUCUACACCCAGGCUUCAGCUGCAUCUGUGUCAUCCCCAAAUCUCCAUCUGCAUCGAGCCCAGGAUCCACACUUCCAACUGCUCACUGGACAUCUCCACUUGGACACUUGGAGUCAUUGAAGCUCCUUCCUCGUCACCAGCAUCCAGGCAGUCACCAAAUCCUUAUACUCCUCUCUGCAAAACUUCUCUCCCCAUCAGCCCUCUCUACUCCAUUCCCUCUAAUCCCGUGCCAACCCCGGCUUGGUCAUCUUUGAUCUGGACUUUUGAGCAGAUGCCUCACUGGUCUUCCUUCCUGCAGCCCUACUUUCUACCCACAAACCCAUCCUCCACAUUACCUCCAGAAUGAUUUUAUACACAGAUCUGGUUCCAUCUCUUGCCUGCUUCCUAAUUCCUGAUGGAAUGGUCCACAGGUAACAUCCAAACUCCUUAGCAUAGUAAUGGGCGAGGUUUCUUUUAAAUUAUUUGCUCAUGUGCUAUAUACUUUUAAAGAGUUAACAGGUAUUGGUUGUCUAUGGCUGCUGUAACAAAUUACCACAAACUUAGUGCCUUGAAUGACAUGAAUUAUUAUUUUCCAGUUCUGUAGGUUAGAAGUUCAAUGUCAUCUCACAGGGCUAAAAUCAAGGCAUCAGCAGGGCUGCGUUCCUUUUGGAGGCUCUAGGGGAGAAUCUGUUUCCGUGCCUUUUCUAGAGGCAGCCUUUAUUCCUUGGCUUGUGGCCCUCUCUUCCAUCUACACA